rnacentral:rRNA from 1 species
UACGGGGGGGGUAAGCGUUGUUCGGAAUUACUGGGCGUAAAGGGCUCGUAGGCGGCCAACUAAGUCAGACGUGAAAUCCCUCAGCUUAACUGGGGAACUGCGUCUGAUACUGGAUGGCUUGGAUUCGGGAGAGGAAUGCGGAAUUCCAGGUGUAGCGGUGAAAUGCGUAGAUACCUGGAGGAACACCGGUGGCGAAGGCGGCAUUCUGGACCGACAUUGACGCUGAGGAGCGAAAGCCAGGGGAGCAAACGGG